rnacentral:rRNA from 1 species
GACGAACGCUGGCGGCGUGCUUAACACAUGCCAGUCGAACGGAAAGGCCCUGCUUUUCUGGGGUGCUCGAGUGGCGAACGGGUGAGUAACACGUGAGUAACCUGCCCUUGACUUUGGGAUAACUUCAGGAAACUGGGGCUAAUACCGGAUAGGAGCUCCUGCUGCAUGGUGGGGGUUGGAAAGUUUCGGCGGUUGGGGAUGGACUCGCGGCUUAUCAGCUUGUUGGUGGGGUAGUGGCUUACCAAGGCUUUGACGGGUAGCCGGCCUGAGAGGGUGACCGGCCACAUUGGGACUGAGAUACGGCCCAGACUCCUACGGGAGGCAGCAGUGGGGAAUAUUGCACAAUGGGCGGAAGCCUGAUGCAGCAACGCCGCGUGCGGGAUGACGGCCUUCGGGUUGUAAACCGCUUUCGCCUGUGACGAAGCGUGAGUGACGGUAAUGGGUAAAGAAGCACCGGCUAACUACGUG